rnacentral:SRP_RNA from 1 species
GCCGGGUGUGGUGGUGCACACCUGUAAUCCCAGCUACUUGGGAGGCUGAGACAUGAGAAUUGCUUGAGCCUGGGAGGCGGAGCUUGCAAAGGGCCGAGAUAGCACCACAGCACUCCAGCCUGGGCAACAGAGCAAGACUCUGUCUCUC